rnacentral:rRNA from 1 species
GAUGAACGCUGGCGGCGUGCCUAAUACAUGCAAGUCGAGCGAACAGACGAGGAGCUUGCUCCUCUGACGUUAGCGGCGGACGGGUGAGUAACACGUGGAUAACCUACCUAUAAGACUGGGAUAACUUCGGGAAACCGGAGCUAAUACCGGAUAAUAUAUUGAACCGCAUGGUUCAAUAGUGAAAGACGGUUUUGCUGUCACUUACAGAUGGAUCCGCGCCGCAUUAGCUAGUUGGUAAGGUAACGGCUUACCAAGGCAACGAUGCGUAGCCGACCUGAGAGGGUGAUCGGCCACACUGGAACUGAGACACGGUCCAGACUCCUACGGGAGGCAGCAGUAGGGAAUCUUCCGCAAUGGGCGAAAGCCUGACGGAGCAACGCCGCGUGAGUGAUGAAGGUCUUCGGAUCGUAAAACUCUGCUAUUAGGGAAGAACAAAUGUGUAAGUAACUAUGCACGUCUUGACGGUACCUAAUCAGAAAGCCACGGCUAACUACGUG